rnacentral:rRNA from 1 species
UAACACAUGCAAGUCGAACGAAGCACUUAUGUUUGAUUCUUCGGAUGAAGAUAUAUGUGACUGAGUGGCGGACGGGUGAGUAACGCGUGGGUAACCUGCCUCAUACAGGGGGAUAACAGUCAGAAAUGGCUGCUAAUACCGCAUAAGCACACAGUGUUGCAUGACACAGUGUGAAAAACUCCGGUGGUAUGAGAUGGACCCGCGUCUGAUUAGCUAGUUGGUGGGGUAACGGCCUACCAAGGCGACGAUCAGUAGCCGACCUGAGAGGGUGACCGGCCACAUUGGGACUGAGACACGGCCCAAACUCCUACGGGAGGCAGCAGUGGGGAAUAUUGCACAAUGGGGGAAACCCUGAUGCAGCGACGCCGCGUGAGCGAAGAAGUAUUUCGGUAUGUAAAGCUCUAUCAGCAGGGAAGAAAAUGACGGUACCUGACUAAGAAGCCCCGGCUAACUACGUGCCAGCAGCCGCGGUAAUACGUAGGGGGCAAGCGUUAUCCGGAUUUACUGGGUGUAAAGGGAGCGUAGACGGAUGUGCAAGUCUGAAGUGAAAGCCCGGGGCUCAACCCCGGGACUGCUUUGGAAACUGUGUAUCUGGAGUGCCGGAGAGGUAAGCGGAAUUCCCAGUGUAGCGGUGAAAUGCGUAGAUAUUGGGAGGAACACCAGUGGCGAAGGCGGCUUACUGGACGGUAACUGACGUU